rnacentral:rRNA from 1 species
GAUGAACGCUGGCGGCGUGCCUAAUACAUGCAAGUCGAGCGAACGGACGAGAAGCUUGCUUCUCUGAUGUUAGCGGCGGACGGGUGAGUAACACGUGGAUAACCUACCUAUAAGACUGGGAUAACUUCGGGAAACCGGAGCUAAUACCGGAUGAUAUUUUGAACCGCAUGGUUCAAAAGUGAAAGACGGUCUUGCUGUCACUUAUAGAUGGAUCCGCGCUGCAUUAGCUAGUUGGUAAGGUAAUGGCUUACCAAGGCAACGAUGCAUAGCCGACCUGAGAGGGUGAUCGGCCACACUGGAACUGAGACACGGUCCAGACUCCUACGGGAGGCAGCAGUAGGGAAUCUUCCGCAAUGGGCGAAAGCCUGACGGAGCAACGCCGCGUGAGUGAUGAAGGUCUUCGGAUCGUAAAACUCUGUUAUUAGGGAAGAACAUAUGUGUAAGUAACUGUGCACAUCUUAACGGUACCUAAUCAGAAAGCCACGGCUAACUACGUG